rnacentral:pre_miRNA from 14 species
UCUUCGGGGUCUGGGGUGGUCACGAAGAUCCUGGCCGAGCCCCCAAAUGAAAGAUCCCUGAAGAGAGACCCUUACUCAAGUCCCGGGAAAUCCUGGACCCCAGACACAGGGAGAC